rnacentral:rRNA from 1 species
AGCAGCCGCGGUAAUUCCAGCUCCAAUAGCGUAUAUUAAAGUUGCUGUAAGUUAAAAAGCUCGUAGUUGAAUUUCGGGAUCAAUAUGUUGGUCGUGCCUCGGUACGUACUAGCUUAUUGGUUUCUUCCUUCUGACGAACCAUAAU